rnacentral:rRNA from 1 species
AGAAUCAACGCUGGCGGCGUGCCUAACACAUGCAAGUCGAACGCGAAAGUCCCGCAAGGGAUGAGUAGAGUGGCAAACGGGUGAGUAACACGUGGGUGACCUGCCUUCGAGUGGGGGAUAACGUCCCGAAAGGGACGCUAAUACCGCAUAACAUCCUGCUUUUUAACAGGUGGACAUCAAAGCUGGGGAUCGCAAGACCUAGCGCUUGAAGAGGGGCCCGCGUCUGAUUAGCUAGUUGGUGGGGUAAUGGCUCACCAAGGCAACGAUCAGUA